AGAGUUUGAUCCUGGCUCAGGAUGAACGCUGGCGGCGUGCCUAACACAUGCAAGUCGAGCGGAAAUACCAAAUGUACUCGUACAGGCGGUAUUUUAGCGGCGGACGGGUGAGUAACACGUGAGCAACCUGCCUUUUGCUGGGGAAUAACAUUGGGAAACCAGUGCUAAUACCGCAUGACGUCAACGGGGGACAUCCCCUGAUGACCAAAGGAGAAAUCCGGCAGAAGAUGGGCUCGCGUCCGAUUAGUUAGUUGGCGGGGUAACGGCCCACCAAGACCGCGAUCGGUAGCCGAACUGAGAGGUUGAUCGGCCACAUUGGGACUGAGACACGGCCCAGACUCCUACGGGAGGCAGCAGUGGGGAAUAUUGGGCAAUGGGGGAAACCCUGACCCAGCAACGCCGCGUGAAGGACGAAGGCCUUCGGGUUGUAAACUUCUUUGAUCAGGGACGAAAGCAAUGACGGUACCUGAAGAACAAGCCACGGCUAACUACGUGCCAGCAGCCGCGGUAAU
rnacentral:rRNA from 1 species